AUAAAAAAAAUAAAAAAAAUAAAAAAAUAAAAAAUGAAAUAACAUUAUUAAACAGUUAUAUUUCAUUUUAAUAUACUUUAUUAUAUUUUACUUUUUUAACAACUUAAAACAAAACAUAAAGAACCUUAUGUUGUUAACCGCUAAGUUUAUAAAAAAAAAAAAAAAAUUAUAUAAAUAACAGAAUAAUGUCAAUAAAACACUUUCAUUUUUUAAAGACUGAUAAGAAAAAAAAAAAAAUUAAAAAUAUAUUUACACAAAAUAAAUAAGCGUAGUUAUGGUUCCUCAAAAAUUAAUUGUACAUUACAAUCAUUGUUCUAUAAAAGAUAUUGGUGAUGUUUUUAUAGAUAGUAUAAAUGUUGAAUUAUUCUUUCUAAAAAAUGUUUUAAAUUGUCCCUUCAUACAUUUCGUAAAGGAAUUGCACCCUUUUAGUAAUUAUGGGUCUUUUCCUUAUGCUUUCAAUACAUUAGAAGGAAACAUUUUACGCGACGAGGAAAUAAUUGACUAUAUGAAAAAUCUGUAUGCAUUCGACAGUCUUAAUUAUGAAUUAUACUUAGGAAUAUUAAAAGAAUUAAAAAUUAUAUUGAUUUAUUUUUUAUGGGCCAAUGAUAAAAUUUACAACAAUUAUACAAACAAACUUUAUAACGAUAAUUUUUUUUAUAUUUAUCGCAUUUAUUUAUUAUGGAAAUUAAGGAAGCAAAAUAUUGAAAAAUAUCAAAUGAAAGGAUUAAAUAACUACAAUUUCAAUUUAAAAAGAUUGAAAGAAAUUUUAAAUAUAUUAGAUAGCGUUUUAUGUGAUUCUAAAAAUAUAGAGAAAGGGACAAAUAUAUGUUAUUUCCACAUAGUGUGUUUUUCUAUUUUAUCUAUAUUUUUUUCUAUACCUUUGGAAUGUAAGUUUUAAUCAAUUUUUUUUUUUUUUUUUAUUUAUUUAUUAUCGUACUAUAAAUUGCUUAGAAAAAAAAAGAAAACACCUUCGCAUAACAUAUGUGCCGUUUAUUUUAACUGUACCAUUAUUUUAUUAUGUCAUUUGUUUUAUUACGUCGUUUAUAUUAAUUAUGCGUUUUUGUUUUAAUUAUGCCAUUUAUGCCGAUUCUUCCAAAUAUGUGUGCCUCUCCCUUUCUCCCAUUUUUUUCCCCUUUUUCCCCCUUUUUUAUUUUAUUAUAGAUAACAAAGAGCUACAAGAUGUUUUAUUAUCUAAUCCUCGAUUGAUAAGUUUUGUUGAAAAUUUAAACAAUAGAUAUAAUGUCUGGACAGAUAAAAAGUCGUUUCUUGGAUGUGCCAACAAUAACUGUUAACAUUUUUUAUGAUCCUUUUCUAGUUCUUUGUUAC
rnacentral:lncRNA from 1 species